rnacentral:lncRNA from 1 species
CCCUGCGUUGGUAGUGUUGUCAGUAUGUGUUGUCCCAGUUGGUGGUGUUGGAAUUUGAUUAAAACUCUUAAAAGAGAUGGUGGGUUAUUAGGAAGUUAGUGGUUAGGAUUUUGUUUUAUUUUGGAAAUAAUAAUAUUUUCUUUUUCUCCUAAAACCCCUAUUCCAUGUUUCAAGUUUCUAUCAGGUGGGGUUUUUCAAUUUGUUUCUUUCUUUGUUCUCUUUUUGCUUUUUUCUUCCCAAAUUGGUUUUUUCUUCUUUUUGCUAUCUUUUGUCAAAAUUAUUUUGUGUGGGGAUUGUAUUUCUUUCUUUAUUCAAUUCUUGGCGCGGGUGUGGUGUUAAUCCUUUGUUCGGUAUCCUUUUGGGUAUUUCUAAUUCAGUUGGGUAAGUGUAUAAUUCUUGCUUUCGCUAGUAUGUUAUUUUUGUUUCUGUUUGGAUACUGGGUUUAAAUCGUAACGAGUUGAUUUCUUCUUUGGGUGUUUGGUUAAUUGGUA